CAAGGCAUCCGCGGGAGCCCGGCGCACCGGGCUGAGAGGGAGGCGUUCUCCGGCCUCCGACCGUACGCACCUGAUCCGGGUCAUGCCGGCGAAGGGAGGAGGCGCGUGGACACG
rnacentral:ncRNA from 2 species